UGCGUUAUCGUCAUGAUAUCUGUUUAAGUACAGU
rnacentral:snRNA from 1 species